UGUAUAGUACAACAUCUGAUGCCGCCCUGCCGGAGAGUACACUAUCUGCGUCCUCCGAGCAGGAGAGUAUAACAUUUUAUGCUGCCCUGCAAGACAU